UUUAUUAUCUUUUAUUAAAUUAUAAUCCAUACAUUUUCUAAGUUGUACUAUUGGACCCUGCCAUUUUGUCCUUUUUGAAUAAAUUAUUAUUUUAAUUACACAAUUUGGAAGUAGUUUUUUUUAAUAGUUUAAGUUAAACUUAAACUGGUGACUAUUAGAGAACAAUAGUGAUAACUAGAGAAUUCUGUCACUAGAGUUGUAUUUUUCCUAGCUAUUUUUUUAUUUUAUUUUCAAUGAUUAUAAAUAAAAAGAUUUAUUAAAUUAGGUAAUGUAGUAAUUAAAAAUUUUGCUAACCUAUUAGACGAUAGUCAGGAGAACCUUCUAAAAGCAUAUCCUUGACAACUUUAUUUAUAUAUGUAUACACAUAUCAUUUUAUUUAUGUUAUUUACUUUUAUUAGUGUUAGGGUAUUUAAAUUUAGUAUUUCUUGCGAAAGGUCUAUUCUUGAUAUAGGAUGCUUAUACAAUAAUUUAUUCUCCUGGCUUUAUUUAGAGUCUUUAUGGAUAAAGUUAAAAAAAGACCAUCCUUUCCUUCAAAUUUUCAGAUCUUUAAAGUUGCUUGAGGUUGCAAACACUGAAUUUAUCAAUAAUAGCUGUUUUAUAUUUUUUAGUUAUUUCUCAAAAAGAAAUUAAAAAUAGUUAGUACAAAAAAAAAGAAAUAGAUUAAUAUAUUUUUUUUAAAAACAAACAAUUUACAAAUAUUUUUUACGGACUAAAU